ensembl:ncRNA C34H3.3 ncRNA
GCUUAAAAUGAAAACGACGAUGUCGAAUUGGAUGUUGUUGCAGUGCUGUUGGUUCGAGGCGAUUGUAAUUCAACCUGAAA